GACUGCCGGUGACAAACCGGAGGAAGGUGGGGAUGACGUCAAGUCAUCCAUGGCCCUUACGGCCUGGGCUACACACGUGCUACAAUGGUCGGUACAAAGGGUUGCCAAGCCGCGAGGUGGAGCUAAUCCCAUAAACCGAUCGUAGUCCGGAUCGCAGUCUGCAACUCGACUGCGUGAAGUCGGAAUCGCUAGUAAUCGUGAAUCAGAAUGUCACGGUGAAUACCGUUCCCGGGCCUU
rnacentral:rRNA from 1 species